rnacentral:rRNA from 1 species
CCUACGGGUGGCAGCAGUGGGGGAUAUUGCACAAUGGAGGGAACUCUGAUGCAGCGACGCCGCGUGAGGGAAGAAGGUUUUCGGAUUGUAAACCUCUGUCUUCGGUGACGAAACGAGACGGUAGCCGAGGAGGAAGCCACGGCUAACUACGUGCCAGCAGCCGCGGUAAUACGGAGGAUCCGAGCGUUAUCCGGAUUUACUGGGGGUAAAGGGGGCGCAGACGGCAGCGCAAGCCAGGAGUGAAAGCCCGGGGCCCAACCCCGGGACUGCUCUUGGAACUGCGCGGCUGGAGUGCAGGAGGGGCAGGCGGAAUUCCUGGUGUAGCGGUGAAAUGCGUAGAUAUCAGGAGGAACACCGGUGGCGAAGGCGGCCUGCUGGACUGCGACUGACGUUGAGGCCCGAAAGCGUGGGGAGCAAACAGGAUUAGAUACCCGGGUAGUC